CCGCCUACGGGGGGCAGCAGUGAGGAAUAUUGGUCAAUGGGCGAGAGCCUGAACCAGCCAAGUCGCGUGAAGGAUGACGGCCCUACGGGUUGUAAACUUCUUUUGUCAGGGAGCAAUUGGGUCCACGCGUGGGCUUAGCGAGAGUACCUGAAGAAAAAGCAUCGGCUAACUCCGUGCCAGCAGCCGCGGUAAUACGUAGGGGGCAAGCGUUAUCCGGAUUUACUGGGUGUAAAGGGAGCGUAGACGGCUGUGCAAGUCUGAAGUGAAAUGCCGGGGCUCAACCCCGGAACUGCUUUGGAAACUGU
rnacentral:rRNA from 1 species